ACAAGUAGUCAGAGCCCGUUAAUGGGUGAUGGCGUGCCUUUUGUAGAAUGAACCGGCGAGUUACGAUUUGAUGCAAGGUUAAGCAGUAAAUGUGGAGCCGUAGCGAAAGCGAGUCUGAAUAGGGCGUUUAGUAUUUGGUCGUAGACCCGAAACCAGGUGAUCUACCCUUGGUCAGGUUGAAGUUCAGGUAACACUGAAUGGAGGACCGAACCGACUUACGUUGAAAAGUGAGCGGAUGAACUGAGGGUAGCGGAGAAAUUCCAAUCGAACCUGGAGAUAGCUGGUUCUCUCCGAAAUAGCUUUAGGGCUAGCCUCAAGUGAUGAUUAUUGGAGGUAGAGCACUGUUUGGACGAGGGGCCCCUCUCGGGUUACCGAAUUCAGACAAACUCCGAAUGCCAAUUAAUUUAACUUGGGAGUCAGAACAUGGGUGAUAAGGUCCGUGUUCGAAAGGGAAACAGCCCAGACCACCAGCUAAGGUCCCAAAAUAUAUGUUAAGUGGAAAAGGAUGUGGCGUUGCCCAGACAACUAGGAUGUUGGCUUAGAAGCAGCCAUCAUUUAAAGAGUGCGUAA
rnacentral:rRNA from 1 species